GACUGCUUCUGUUGCAAGAAGCAUAAGUUUGCAUCCUGCCUGCCUGGACAAAGGAAUCCUUCACGUGAUGUUAACAGGUGUCACCAACAACCUGCACAGUGGCCAUCAGCCACCUUGGUCUGGUGUCUUGUGUUGCUCAGUCUCUGACAUCAAAGUGAAGGCAGAACAACAUGGCCACUGUGCUUUCUGAGGCAGAGAAGCCAAAAGUCUCCAUGGGUGAUGUUCACUCCCCUUCUGACUAACCAGAGAAAGACAACUUUUCUCUUAUGAGACCUCUCUUGCCACUUGCUUCCUGAUUUAUUCUUUCUUGGAUGCUACAUUCACUGCAGGAAAAAGGAUCACAGAAAGUAGAAGAGCUUUCCCAGGUUAUCAAAUCCAGUCCCUAGUGUUCACUGGAAGCCAUACAAUUAAAUAAGAG